UCGAACCCAGGCCCCCUGCAUCAGGAGCGUGGAGUCUUAUCCACUGUGCCACCAGGGGAGUCCUGAAUUGGAGCUAUUUUAAAACAAUAUAUUGUGCCAUCGUGUGGGUAUGUCAUACAAAGCAUAGACGACCCCUUAUUUUACAGUUUUUUUUCAAUUUUCUAUUAAAAAUAGCUAUUUUAAAAGUUUUUAAAAAUCAACGUUAAAAAAUAACUAUUUUUUGUUACCUCCAAAUGAGAUAUCCAAGUCAAAGCAUAGCUCUUGAAAAGGUGAAUGACCCAUCAUGACUUCUAAAUGAUGAAAAUUUUCAAAUACAGAGAAGAUGUCUGAUACCUAAGGACCCACCAUCCGAUUUAACAAGGGAUAACAUCCUGCCAUAUUUGCUUCAUCUUGAAUUUGGUGGUGGUGGUGGGGGAGAUCUUUGAUAUCCUUCCCUGCUUCUUCUUUCAGGUUAAUUUCACUAUGUAUCUGCAAAUAACAGCAGGUAUUCUUCAGCGAUUUCUUGGCAUUUCAGUUUACCUUUAUAUUAACUUGAAGAAACUGAUCUUUAUUCUGUGUUUCAAACUGAUUCACAUCUUCCUCUAUUUCUCCCUUUAGGACUGGAUUUUCUUUGAGUAAACCCCUAUGUUCUGAACAGGAUUAAUAUGCUUGGAUUUAAUGUUUGCUCUAUUGUCUGUGUCAGAUGGGGGUUGGGAUGGGGGCUUUUAGCCAGGUGAUCUUUCCAUCAGUUAGACAGUUGUUUCUCUGAGCAUUCUUUAAAGCCCUGAGAUCUUCAGUUCUCAGAACUUGAAGUAAACACAUCACUUAGUUUUAGGGCACACCAGUUUUCCUAUUACAGAACUAUUUAUUGUCUUAGAAAACUUAUGAGUAAAUAGGUUCUGUAUUUCCAUUCCAUUUUGGUAAUGGAGACUCACUUUUUAAGUACCCAAGGUCACACUAGGUCAGAAAUCUGGAAUAUUACGUUCUGGUGGUAUAAAAGUAUCCUUGUCAUUGUUUAAAAGGACUAGUGCUAUAUCAUGCUGCAACUUGCUUUUAAAUUGCAGGGACAAAUUGUUCCAGAACGGGAAGAGAAUGCCCUGCCCAGCACCUGCACAAGACUCUACACUGCAAAGGCUAACCCAGAUCAGUUGGCAGGCGAGGGAGCAGUGGUUACUGGGCAGAGUGCAGGUUCCUUGGAGUUUCUACAUUCAGCCACUACAUGGUGAAGCACACAGGAGAAGACCCCACAUGGAGCCCCAAUCCAAUCAGCCCUCAUCAGACCUCACUGACAGCAGGUUUUACAAGGAAACUGUCCAACCAAUUGGUAUCUUUGGAAAGGCUGGGCUGGAUCUUCCCUAGCAAGCCUUCCACCUGCAACUUUUUUUUCUCCAGCCAUUUCUCUCUUUGACCCGACUAUAAAAAGCAGGAAACCUUCCUCUUCUUCUUUUCUUUGGCCAUGCUGAGCAGCUUUCAGGAUCUUGGUUCCCCAACCAGGCACUGAACCCACCACAAGUGAGGCGCCGAGUCCUAACCACUGGACCACCAGGGAACUCCCUGGGAAACUAGGAUGCCUGUGAUUGAACUGGACAGGGAAUGGAUUGGUGUCUGUAAGCAGCCAACAGCCAGCAGCUUUUCAGAGUUACUUAGUGGGCAAAUUUGUUAACUUUUUAAAAUUUCCCUGUAUGUUUACAUUAAAAAAAAUUCACACAAAUAAAACAGCUCUAUCAAAAGUA